CCCUGUUUUCAUGUCCUGAAUUUCUUUUUUUCACCUCAUACUACUUUACUAUCAUCACUAUGAUUUUAAUAGUUGAAGAAACUUUCUACGCUUUUACUAUGUUUAAUGUUGGAUUUAUUAGAAAUAUAUACAAGAUAGAGAUGAUCGUGCUAAUCUUGUGUGUUUCAUGUUUUCCUGAAAAUAGAGCUUUCUAUUUUCCUGUGCAGAUAUCUUAGUCGCAAUCAACUACAGGGCCAACUAAAUGACAUGUUUGGAUCGCUUUCAGCUCUCUCUACUUUGUAAGAUUGCUCCUGUCCAGUUUCAUACAUGUUAGUGUUCUUUUGUUAAGAUUUUUUUUGAUGAAUUUACUUUUUUGUAAAUUUGAGUUUUGUUUAUUCAUUCAUACCGGGAACCGAAAGUGCAGCAUACUGGCCACCUUUCUGUCAUGAAAUUUGCUUUGUGUUGAUCUACAUUGCAAGGACAUUUCAAUUUCUCACUUGCCAGGAGUUAAAUUUUUGCUUUGCUUUGCUAGACACAAUGACAUAUGUAAUCUUCCUUGGAACCAGGGUAUCUCUUUUAAUUCCAUGACAGGUGAUCUUCCUGAAUGUUUUACCGCUCUUUCAAGUAUGGCCAAUAUGCAAGUAUAUUGUCAUAGUUUUAUUAUCUAAAUUUAUAAGAUUUUUUUGUGUUCAAAGAUAUUUGUUGUGCAGGUAUUUGCAAAACAACCAGUUUACAGGCUCUAUUGAUGUCCUUUCUAAUCUUCCCCUGCAUAAUUUGAAUAUUGGAAAUAACCAUUUCCGCGGUUGGAUUCCUGAAAGAUUAAAAAACAUAAAUAUUCAGUAAGACAUUCUCACAUCAAUCGUCUUACAAUGGUCUUAAUCAAGUAGGGGAUAUUUUUUUUGAGCAGUAUAUACAUGAUUAUUUUAACAAGAGAGAGGGCAACUCAUGGAGUUCCGGUCCUGCACCACCUCCUCUACCUGGAACUCCUCCAUCCAGAAGUAGCAACCGAAAUAGAAAACAAAAUGACAAUAAAAACUCAUCAGAUGGUGGUGGAAGCAAGAAAUCAGGUAUAGGCGGUGGUGGUGUGGCAGGAAUUGUGAUAUCCAUUUUAGUUGUUGGAGCCGUGGUUGCAUUCUUUGUAGUGAAGAAAAGGUCCAAAAGAUCAUCUGCAGAUGUAGAGAAAUCUGAUAGUCAGCCUUUCACUUCUUACGCUUCACAAGAAGUCCAAGGUACCAA